rnacentral:rRNA from 1 species
GAUGAACGCUGACGGAAUGCUUAACACAUGCAAGUCGAUGGGGCAUUGUUGCUCACUCCAUGGUAAUCAUGGCGGACGCGUGAGUAACGCCCAAGGGACUUACCCGCAGGACUAGGUUACCCUGCUCCCACCCCUGACCAGAUUGGAUAAUGUCAUGUUGCUUCAUCUCUUUCUUGUGAAAGUAGACGCUUCCGGAGAGCCUUGCGUCCUAUGAGCUAGUUGGUGAGGUAAUGGCACACCAGGGCGAAGAUAGGUAGCCGGCCUGAGAGGGUUGACGGCCACAAGGGGAGUGAGAUACGGCGGUUACUAAUACGGGAGGCAGCAGUGGGAAAUAUUGGACAAUGGGGGCAACCCUGAUCCAGCAGUUCUGUGUGCAAGAAGAAGGCUUUCGGAGUGUAAAGGGCUUUCAGCAGGGAAGAAGUAAGUGACGGUACCUGGAGAAGAAGCGACGGCUAAAUACGUG